rnacentral:rRNA from 1 species
CCUACGGGUGGCAGCAGUGGGGAAGAUUGCACAAUGGGGGAAACCCUGAUGCAGCAACGCCGCGUGAGGGAUGAAGGCCGUCGGGGUGGAAAGCUCGGGCUGCAGGGACGAAAAUGACGGUACCUGAGGAGGAAGCCACGGCUAACGACGUGCCAGCAUCCGCGGUAAGACGUAGGUGGCGUGCGUUGUCCGGAUUUACGGGGCGUAAAGGGAGCGUAGGUGGACUGUUAAGUGAGAUGUGAAAUCCUCGGGCUCAACUUUAGUGGUGCAUUUCAAACUGUAAGUCUAGAGUGCAGGAGAGGGGACUGGAAUUCCUUGUGUAGCGGUGAAAUGCGUAGAUAUUAGGAAGAACACCAGUGGCGAAGGCGAUUCUCUGGACUGUAACUGCCGCUGAGGCUCGAAAGCGUGGGGAGCAAACAGGAUUAGAUACCCUAGUAGUC